UACGUAGGGGGCAAGCGUUGUCCGGAUUUACUGGGCGUAAAGAGCGUGUAGGCGGCCAAACAGGUCCGUUGUGAAAACUGGAGGCUCAACUUCCAGACGUCGACGGAAACCGUGUGGCUAGAGUCCGGAAGAGGAGAGUGGAAUUCCUGGUGUAGCGGUGAAAUGCGCAGAUAUCAGGAAGAACACCAAUGGCGAAGGCAGCUCUCUGGGACGGUACUGACGCUGAGACGCGAAAGCGUGGGGAGCGAACAGGG
rnacentral:rRNA from 1 species